AGCCUUCUGUAUACAUGCUGAGAUUUCGUCACACACCAGACCACAAAGACUGAUGAGACCCCUAAUAUAGAUGAAGUG
rfam:Schistosoma curassoni strain Dakar, Senegal genome assembly, scaffold: SCTD_scaffold0000404